AGCUCCAAUAGCGUAUAUUAAAGUUGCUGCGUUUAAAAAGCUCGUAGUUGGAUCUCAGUCUCGAUCGGUCGGUCCAUCCUCUGGGUGGUUACUGGCUCAAUCGGACGUUGUUGGCCACGUUUCCGAGCAUGCUCUUCAUUGAGUGUGUUCCGGAGAGUGGAGCGUUUACUUUGAAAAAAUUAGAGUGUUCAAAGCAGGCUUUCACAGCCCGAAUACAUGAGCAUGGAAUAAUGGAAUAGGACCGCGGUUCUAUUUUGUUGGUUUCUACGACCGCAGUAAUGAUUAAGAGGGACAAUUGGGGGCAUCCGUAUUUCGUUGUCAGAGGUGAAAUUCUUGGAUUUACGAAAGACGAACAACUGCGAAAGCAUUUGCCAAGAGUGUUUUCAUUAAUCAAGAACGA
rnacentral:rRNA from 1 species